AAUUCAGAUCGCAGAUUUUUUUUUAUAUACACACAUUCUUUAGUCCACUUGCGCAUCGUACUUUAAAAAUUCUAAUAAUUUCUCAAAUGCUUCAAGUUGAAACGAUAGAACAAAAAAGCCUACAUACUUCAACUCCACCUUAUCCUUACAAACGUAUGGAGUUUGCUGAAAACAAAACUUUCGUAACAGAGAAAUAUCGGAGUCGCUCGAGCAUUGUUCACGUUUGGAGUUGACAAAGCCGUUACUCAUUCCACCACGACCAGUCUUCUUCACAAUGAUCUGAACUCUCGCAAUCGCAACAACCGAUUGAAUCUUCGAACCCUAGCUUGUACUUGUUCCCAUUUCAAUUUAGGUAAAUUCAUCUUUUGAUUUUCUUAUUUUCAGUUUCAUCUUUUUGUUUUCUUUUUGUGAACAAGGUGUUUGUUGAAAUUCCACAGUGAGUUUACUUAUGUUGAUUUUGAGUAUAACUCGUUUAUAAUUCUCGUAACAUGUUUGCAAAUAGAUAUUGUUUGUUGAGAAUGUCUGGUUUGUUGAGAAUGGGGUUUGGAGGUUGAACAUGGCUUGGAGUUAGUUAUAGGUUAGUUUGAUUCAAUUCAGUUAGUUAGAGUGAGUUGGAUAAAGGACUCAGUCAGUUAUUAGGUAUUUGACUGAUAGUUAGGAAAUUCUAUGAGCGAAGUUAGUUUGUGGGAUCAAUUAGAAUCAGUUAGGGAAGUUGGUUGGGACUGUUAGAGUUAAUUACAAGCUGUCUUAAGUCAAAUUGGGUGGUUUAUGAGGUAGUUUAUGUUAGUGCUUCCUAACUGAAGAAGAAGAAGAAGAAAAUGGAAAAGUAGAGAAAAAAGAUGAAUCAUCGGCGAAGAUGCUUUGUCUAGCGGAAGGGUUAUGGGAAGGUACUGUUUUAAUAACGCCUUUCUUCUUCUGGGGCACUGCCAUGGUAGCGAUGAAAGAAGUGCUUCCUAAAUACGGUCCUUUCUUCGUUUCGUCUUUUCGUCUCAUUCCAGCUGGAUUCCUUCUCGUUGCUUUCGCUGCUUCCAGAGGAAGGCCUUUCCCCUCUGGCCUCAACGCAUGGCUUUCCAUUUCGCUCUUCGCCAUCAUCGAUGCUGCUUGCUUUCAGGGAUUUCUCGCCGAAGGGUUGCAGAAGACUUCAGCUGGUUUGGGCAGUGUUAUUAUUGAUUCACAACCUUUGACAGUGGUUGUACUUGCAGCUUUGUUAUUUGGUGAGUCCAUUGUAAUUAUUGGAGCUACUGGGCUUGUACUUAGUGUUGUAGGACUUGUGUUACUCGAGGUAUUUUAUUCAGGUAGACUCAGAAUUUGUGGAAGUAUUAGCAUUCAGGUAUCUAUCAUGUUUACAUGUAAGUAUAUUUCAUUUCAUUUUUAUUUAAUUUUUCUCGAGAAUUUUCAAAUUUGAUAACAAGAUAUUUAUGUUACCGACUAAUUUAAGACCUGCUGAGGUAUCUAACUCAUGCAUCCUGAAUUGGUCCGUCUGGCAAAGAGAGUUGAAUGUCUAGAACCAUUCACAUAGAUUUAAAUUAAUCCUAGUAUAUUUAUAAGGCUUAAUCUCAUCAAAGCAAUUGAAGUUUUAGCCAUUGGUCUAAUCCUCUUAGCCUAAAACAUCACAUGUUCUGUAGUUUUUAAUCAUUUCAUUAUGCAUGUUUCCAAUCAUAAUAUAUAUUAUUUGGAACCCUUGCCAUUACCAUGUUCUUGCUCAUAUAAUUUUGUGUAAUAAGUGUAAUAUUAGUCACACGGGCUUUAGAAAUGAUUUGAAAAUUUGAACAUUGGUAGUAAUCAACUUAUAUCUUUAGUUCUGAAUAUUUCUUUAAUGUUGUGAUUUUUCUAUUUUUCUAUUUCUUUAAUGUUCUGAAUAUUGGUAGUAAGAAAGAUAUAUGUACACAACCCACUGUUAGUCUAAUUUAUGUUUUUUCAUUUUUAUUUGUAAACAUUUAUUUUUAAGCCUGAAUAUUGGACAAAAUGUAAACUUUUAUUUGUAGGUUAUAUAAUUUGAAAUAUUAAUAGUUUUCUAGCUAUUUUUCAUCGAGUAAAUAAAUGUCAGAGGAACCAUAUUAUCAUUUUUCAUGUUUCUUUGAUGCUAUUGCGACAUUAUUUAGAUUUAAAGUAAUUUAGUGAUGGUAUUUUUAUUAUUAUUUUAAUGGUAAGCUUGUUCAAAUAGAAUAGGAAAAUUGUAAACUAUUAACAGUUAAGAGUACUUUCAUUAGCAGGGAGGAAGAUGAUGAGUCUCAGAAUAUUAUACUAUACUGUGACAUGGUGACUGAUGAGUUACAACAUUUGCGAGAGUGUUGAUUAGAAGUGAGAGAGUCUCAAAUUCAAAGGUACUUUCUCUCUCGGGCUUCAUUAAGUAUGUGAUCAUGAGUGUUUUCUUAUCCUAAAAGGCAUGAGCUAUAUUCAAUAUUUUUCAUUUUAGGCUCAAUUUUAUAUUUCAAGAAUAAUCAGACCCUUUUUAUUUUAAAGCCCAAAGGUAAAGCAAUGACAAUUCGCUCACUGAUAAGCUUUUUGAACAAGUGAUUAAGUCUUUAAAGUUAAAUAAGUGUCUUGGUCAUUUUCAUGUAUCAUACAUUUAUUGACAAACAUUGAAUUAAACAAAGUCUAUAAUAUGAAUAGCAAUGAGAAUUUUGAAUUCAGUUAAUUCUAGGAUGCAUACAACUUACAAGACUCAAAGUUUCAUGCAUUUCCGUAUUGCAGACAAUUUUAAGGAUAUUUUAACAAUGAUCACUUUGAAGAAUGUUUUUCUCUCACAAUGAAACUUGGUUUUCAAAAAAACCUUGUCUUUUUCAUCAUAAGAAUCAGGAUUCUGAUAAAAACCAAGUCAAUCCAAAUCAAACCCGAAGCAUACAUAAAAAAUAAUUAAAAGUAAAUUCUAAAAUUAUACAAUUGAAUUUAAAUAGUUGGAAGUAAAUAAAAACUAUAAAGAUUACAGUUCGUGGCGAGUUUUAAUUCAUUCUCCUUAACAUUUCCUUCAUCAACAUUGCGAUGUUUUGCUACUCUUAGCUUCCCAUCUCUUCUAAAAAGGUUGCAUUUUCCCCAUUCCAUGC